rnacentral:rRNA from 1 species
GGGUAACCUGCCUGUAAGACUGGGAUAACUCCGGGAAACCGGGGCUAAUACCGGAUGGUUGUUUGAACCGCAUGGUUCAAACAUGAAAGGUGGCUUCGGCUACCACUUACAGAUGGACCCGCGGCGCAUUAGCUAGUUGGUGAGGUAAUGGCUCACCAAGGCAACGAUGCGUAGCCGACCUGAGAGGGUGAUCGGCCACACUGGGACUGAGACACGGCCCAGACUCCUACGGGAGGCAGCAGUAGGGAAUCUUCCGCAAUGGACGAAAGUCUGACGGAGCAACGCCGCGUGAGUGAUGAAGGUUUUCGGAUCGUAAAACUCUGUUGUUAGGGAAGAACAAGUACCGGAGUAACUGCCGGUACCUUGACGGUACCUAACCAGAAAGCCACGGCUAACUACGUGCCAGCAGCCGCGGUAAUACGUAGGUGGCAAAGCGUUGUCCGGAAUUAUUGGGCGUAAAAGCGCGCGCAGGUGGUCUCUUAAGUCUGAUGUGAAAGCCC